GGGAGGAGGGGAAGCAGAGGGGACGAUGAGUUGACUUUUGCUGAUGGAGCCUCUCUGAAGGGCAAAUUCAAAGUACAGCUGGGUGCUGCAGCACUGGAGUGCGAACUUGUGGCUGUGGUUAUGAAGGAGCCUCGUCAGCUAUGCCUUUAGCCCCUGGUGAAGCAGUGCCAGUCACACUUUGCCAGUCAAACGGAGAGGCAGCAGUAGUAAGACCAGACCAAAUCAAACCAAACCAAGCAAACCACGGGGAAUGGAGAGAUAAGAGAAGAUCAAGGGAGU
rnacentral:lncRNA from 10 species